CAUGCAAGUCGAACGAUGAAGCCGCUUCGGUGGUGGAUUAGUGGCGAACGGGUGAGUAACACGUGGGCAAUCUGCCCUUCACUCUGGGACAAGCCCUGGAAACGGGGUCUAAUACCGGAUAAUACUCCUGCCUGCAUGGGUGGGGGUUGAAAGCUCCGGCGGUGAAGGAUGAGCCCGCGGCCUAUCAGCUUGUUGGUGGGGUAAUGGCCUACCAAGGCGACGACGGGUAGCCGGCCUGAGAGGGCGACCGGCCACACUGGGACUGAGACACGGCCCAGACUCCUACGGGAGGCAGCAGUGGGGAAUAUUGCACAAUGGGCGAAAGCCUGAUGCAGCGACGCCGCGUGAGGGAUGACGGCCUUCGGGUUGUAAACCUCUUUCAGCAGGGAAGAAGCGCAAGUGACGGUACCUGCAGAAGAAGCGCCGGCUAACUACGUGCCAGCAGCCGCGGUAAUACGUAGGGCGCAAGCGUUGUCCGGAAUUAUUGGGCGUAAAGAGCUCGUAGGCGGCUUGUCACGUCGGAUGUGAAAGCCCGGGGCUUAACCCCGGGUCUGCAUUCGAUACGGGCUAGCUAGAGUGUGGUAGGGGAGAUCGGAAUUCCUGGUGUAGCGGUGAAAUGCGCAGAUAUCAGGAGGAACACCGGUGGCGAAGGCGGAUCUCUGGGCCAUUACUGACGCUGAGGAGCGAAAGCGUGGGGAGCGAACAGGAUUAGAUACCCUGGUAGUCCACGCCGUAAACGUUGGGAACUAGGUGUUGGCGACAUUCCACGUCGUCGGUGCCGCAGCUAACGCAUUAAGUUCCCCGCCUGGGGAGUACGGC
rnacentral:rRNA from 1 species